AGGUGCAGUGGCAAGUGCCUGUAGUUCCAGCUACUCGGGAGGAUGAGAGGAUGAGGUGGGAGGAUCGCUUGAGCCCAGGAGUUCUAGACUGUAGUGCGCUAUGCCAAUUGGGUGACCGCACUAAGUUCGGCAUCAAUAUGGUGACCUCCUGGGAGUGGGGGACCUCUAGGUUGCCUAAGGAGGAGUGAACAGGCCCAGGUCAGAAACAAAGCAGGUCAAAACUGCCGUGCUGACCAGCAGUGGGAUUGUGCCUGUGAAUAGCCACUGUACUCCAGCCUGGGCAACAUAGCAAGACCCUGUCUCUA
ensembl:misc_RNA Metazoa_SRP Metazoan signal recognition particle RNA